rnacentral:rRNA from 1 species
GAUGAACGCUGGCGGCGUGCCUAAUACAUGCAAGUCGAGCGAACAGACGAGGAGCUUGCUCCUCUGACGUUAGCGGCGGACGGGUGAGUAACACGUGGAUAACCUACCUAUAAGACUGGGAUAACUUCGGGAAACCGGAGCUAAUACCGGAUAAUAUAUUGAACCGCAUGGUUCAAUAGUGAAAGACGGUUUUGCUGUCACUUAUAGAUGGAUCCGCGCCGCAUUAGCUAGUUGGUAAGGUAACGGCUUACCAAGGCAACGAUGCGUAGCCGACCUGAGAGAGUGAUCGGCCACACUGGAACUGAGACACGGUCCAGACUCCUACGGGAGGCAGCAGUAGGGAAUCUUCCGCAAUGGGCGAAAGCUUGACGGAGCAACGCCGCGUGAGUGAUGAAGGUCUUCGGAUCGUAAAACUCUGUUAUUAGGGAAGAACAAAUGUGUAGGUAACUAUGCACGUCUUGACGGUACCUAAUCAGAAAGCCACGGCUAACUACGUG